rnacentral:lncRNA from 1 species
AGCAGUCUGCUUGGAGUUGGUGACGGCAGUUGGUGAAACCAUUUCAACCUUGAGGGUGUGGGGAAGGAACCCAUCUCCUAAUAUCUAAAUGGCUGUUGCUGAUUACAUUCACUCUGACCAAGGCAGACCUGCAUGAACUUGAAGGAAAGCUGCUUUCUCAAGAAUAUCAUGGAGCGGAGGCUUCCCAGCCCUCAACUUCUCGACUCCCGGCGCUGGAACCCGCCUCGAACAAGAAGACGAGACAACAGCUCUCAAGGCCAAAUGCAGGCUAGUGGGAAAAUGCCAAACUGCACAAGCUACAUGCGCCCCCCUUCCCAACCCAAAACCCCAAAUAAAAAUCCCUACCCGUUCCUCAUCGGGGAGCUAGCAAUUUUUGAGGCAUGAGCCCUUGCUUUGCUCCCUGUGCCUGGCAUAGUAAAAACCUUUCCUCUCCA